rnacentral:rRNA from 1 species
GAGGUGGUGCUAAUCCUAGAAAAUUCUUCGUAGUCCGGAUUGGAGUCUGCAACUCGACUCCAUGAAGUCGGAAUCGCUAGUAAUCGCGAAUCAGCAUGUCGCGGUGAAUACGUUCUCGGGUCUUGUACACACCGCCCGUCACACCAUGGAAGUGGAUUGCACCAGAAGUAGAUAGUCUAACCUUCGGGAGGGCGUUACCACGGUGUGCUUCAUGACUGGGGUGAAGUCGUAACAAGGUAGCCGUAGGGGAACCUGUGGCUGGAUCACCUCCUU